rnacentral:rRNA from 1 species
UGGGGAAUAUUGCACAAUGGGCGCAAGCCUGAUGCAGCCAUGCCGCGUGUAUGAAGAAGGCCUUCGGGUUGUAAAGUACUUUCAGCGGGGAGGAAGGGAGUAAAGUUAUUACCUUUGCUCAUUGACGUUACCCGCAGAAGAAGCACCGGCUAACUCCGUGCCAGCAGCCGCGGUAAUACGGAGGGUGCAAGCGUUAAUCGGAAUUACUGGGCGUAAAGCGCACGCAGGCGGUUUGUUAAGUCAGAUGUGAAAUCCCCGGGCUCAACCUGGGAACUGCAUCUGAUACUGGCAAGCUUGAGUCUCGUAGAGGGGGGUAGAAUUCCAGGUGUAGCGGUGAAAUGCGUAGAGAUCUGGAGGAAUACCGGUGGCGAAGGCGGCCCCCUGGACGAAGACUGACGCUCAGGUGCGAAAGCGUGGGGAGCAAACAGG